GACCUGGCUGGGCGGUCUUGCCGAAAGGUAAGCACUGCGUUAGCCGGGUCUUUCCUUCUGGGGAACCUGCGUGCUCUUAACUGGGUGCGCAGGGGAUCCAGGACUUUUACUUUGAAAAAAUUAGAGUGUUUAAAGCAGGCCUACGCUUGAAUACAUUAGCAUGGAAUAAUAGAAUAGGACUUUGGUUCUAUUUUGUUGGUUUCUAGGACCGAAGUA
rnacentral:rRNA from 1 species